UUUUCCCCCGGGGGAAACUAGCAUAUCAAUAAGCGGAGGAAAAGAAACCAACAGGGAUUGCCCCAGUAACGGCGAGUGAAGCGGCAACAGCUCAAAUUUGAAAUCUGGCCCUUACGGGUCCGAGUUGUAAUUUGUAGAGGAUGCUUUUGGCAAGGCGCCGCCCGAGUUCCCUGGAACGGGACGCCACAGAGGGUGAGAGCCCCGUCUGGCUGGCCGCCGAGCCUCUGUAAAGCUCCUUCGACGAGUCGAGUAGUUUGGGAAUGCUGCUCAAAAUGGGAGGUAUAUGUCUUCUAAAGCUAAAUAUUGGCCAGAGACCGAUAGCGCACAAGUAGAGUGAUCGAAAGAUGAAAAGCACCUUGAAAAGAGGGUUAAAUAGUACGUGAAAUUGUUGAAAGGGAAGCGCUUGUGACCAGACUUGGGCGCGGCGGAUCAUCCGGGGUUCUCCCCGGUGCACUUCGCCGCGUCCAGGCCAGCAUCAGUUCGUCGCGGGGGAAAAAGGCUUCGGGAACGUGGCUCCCUCGGGAGUGUUAUAGCCCGUUGCGUAAUACCCUGCGGUGGACUGAGGACCGCGCAUCUGCAAGGAUGCUGGCGUAAUGGUCACCAGCGACCCGUCUUGAAACACGGACCAAGGAGUCGUCUUCGUAUGCGAGUGUUCGGGUGUCAAACCCCUACGCGUAAUGAAAGUGAACGCAGGUGAGAGCUUCGGCGCAUCAUCGACCGAUCCUGAUGUUCUCGGAUGGAUUUGAGUAAGAGCAUACGGGGCCGGACCCGAAAGAAGGUGAACUAUGCCUGUAUAGGGUGAAGCCAGAGGAAACUCUGGUGGAGGCUCGCAGCGGUUCUGACGUGCAAAUCGAUCGUCAAAUAUGGGCAUGGGGGCGAAAGACUAAUCGAACCUUCUAGUAGCUGGUUUCCGCGAGUUUCCCUCCUCUAAAAAAA
rnacentral:rRNA from 1 species